rnacentral:rRNA from 1 species
GGUAAUACGGAGGGUCCGAGCGUUAUCCGGAAUCAUUGGGUUAAAGGGUCCGUAGGCGGGCCUAUAAGUCAGGGGUGAAAGGCCACGGCUCAACCGUGGGACUGCCCUUGAUACUGUAGGUCUUGAGUCGUUGUGGAGUUGCCGGAACAUGUGGUGUAGCGGUGAAAUGCAUAGAUAUCACAUAGAACACCUAUCGCGAAGGCAGGUGGCUAACAACGUACUGACGCUGAUGGACGAAAGCGUGGGGAGCGAACGGGAUUAGAUACCCCGGUAGUCCACGCCGUAAACGAUGGAUACUAGCUGUGGGACUUCGGUUCCGUGGCCAAGCGAAAGUGAUAAGUAUCCCACCUGGGGAGUACGUUCGCAAGAAUGAAACUCAAAGGAAUUGACGGGGGCCCGCACAAGCGGUGGAGCAUGUGGUUUAAUUCGAUGAUACGCGAGGAACCUUACCAGGGCUUAAAUGCAGUCCGACAGGCUUGGAGACAGGCUUUUCUUCGGACGGAUUGCAAGGUGCUGCAUGGUU